rnacentral:rRNA from 1 species
GAUGAACGCUGGCGGCGUGCCUAAUACAUGCAAGUCGAGCGAACAGAUGAGGAGCUUGCUCCUCUGACGUUAGCGGCGGACGGGUGAGUAACACGUGGAUAACCUACCUAUAAGACUGGGAUAACUUCGGGAAACCGGAGCUAAUACCGGAUAAUAUAUUGAACCGCAUGGUUCAAUAGUGAAAGACGGUUUUGCUGUCACUUAUAGAUGGAUCCGCGCCGCAUUAGCUAGUUGGUAAGGUAACGGCUUACCAAGGCAACGAUGCGUAGCCGACCUGAGAGGGUGAUCGGCCACACUGGAACUGAGACACGGUCCAGACUCCUACGGGAGGCAGCAGUAGGGAAUCUUCCGCAAUGGGCGAAAGCCUGACGGAGAAAAGCCGCGUGAGUGAUGAAGGUCUUCGGAUCGUAAAACUCUGUUAUUAGGGAAGAACAAAUGUGUAAGUAACUAUGCACGUCUUGACGGUACCUAAUCAGAAAGCCACGGCUAACUACGUG